rnacentral:lncRNA from 1 species
GGAAAGGAUAUGUGACGAUCAGACAGACAAUUAGAACAGUACUGGAAAAGGAGUCCCCGGUAAGGAUAAUAUUGAAAGGAGCAAGACAAAAUUUCCAAAGGGCUUAGGAACUAAAUCCAUGGGAUUUUUCAUUUUAUUCGAUGUGCACUGAAAGUGUUGAGAAAGUGACUUUGAAUCUGGAUAAAUUAGAAACAUAGUAGGAUGAAUCAGGGACUGUUGGGCAGGGAGAUAGAUGAUGAGUUUAGUUGUCAUAGAAACUUUGUUUAUGUUGGUUGGUAUUAUUAUAUGGGGCUGGAGGCAACUGGAAGUGCAUUCCUAGAGUUUAGAAGAGAAUUCAAGGAAGAGAUAGAUAUACAGACAGACAUACUCACGGAUAAAUGUAUGUAAGUAUUGGUACUAUUAUAUGGGACUGGAGGCAAUUGGAAAUACAUUCUUAGAGUUUACAAGAGAAUUCAAGGAAGAGAUAGUUAGCUAGAUAGAUAGACACACUCAUAGAUAAAUUCAUAUAAGUAUACUACAUAAAACCACAGUAGUAAUGUGGUUUUCACAGUAGUAAUGACAAAUUAUAAACAGAUAUGUGUGAGAGAGAAAGGAAGAGAAAGAGAUAAAUAGGCAAAGAACCAGGAGUAUACAGUGACAGAAGGCAAGUCAGAGACUUUUAAGAGAGCAACAAUGAUCAGUAUUACCCAAUUUCCAAGGAACCAUCCAUUAUUAAUGGAAUAUUUUAAGCAAGUGGUUGAUAUAGGAUUAGAAUUCAUAUCUCUGAAUUCUUGAUUAUCUCUCUUUUGACGUAUCACAUGGUCCAAUAUCACGUCUACCCUUUCAGAAGUACAGGUUUGCUCUGGUAUUUGAGGCCUUGGUCAUAAAUUUCUUCUGGGCCUUGAGAAAAGUUAAUCCACCGUACAGUCUAAUCUUUCUUCCUUGCCGUCUAAAUGCAUCUGAGAACAGUGUGAGAGGUAAUGAGGAGAGAUUUGCAAACAUGCGGAAAAGAAAGACCAAUAUUAAGUUGGCAUUAAAAUGUAUGCACAUGUAAUACAUUUUCCUGAUAAGAAAAUACACAUUUAUGAUUCAUUUUUAUAUGAGACAUCCGAAAUGAAUGCCUUGAUUAUGUUCGUGUUAAUUUUAUCAUUCUAGCUUUUCAAAUUCAUCCCAAGAAUAUUUUUUAAAUAAGGUCAAUCAGAAUUUCCAUGAUUUAGGAAGACUGAUGUAUGGUAUGAAUACAAAUUAAGAUUAGAUAAACUAAAUCAAAAGCAGAGAAAUAUUAUACUUUUAGAAAAUCUAGUAUCCAGAAUCAUAAAUGGCCUGAUAACCUUACAUUUACCAACACAUUUAUUGGUUCUAAAUCAUAAUGUAUAUGUGAAACCAUAGCUAUAUACAUAUGGAAAAAAGUAAUUGGAUUAUUAAAACUACAGUGUUUUUAAAUUUUUAGUAUAUGAUAUAUAACAUAGCAAUAAUUCAAAAAUAUUUUUUUUUGCAACUUUCAAACAAUGUAUUUGCAUUCUAUUUCUAAGCAUGAUUUAAUGUUCCAAUCCUUUUAUCAUAAUAUUUGCUUGACAUUAAAUUUCUCCUUAAGCUUUCCCACAAGGUAAUCCAAAUAAUUUGUGCAGGUAAAAAUAAAACAUACCAUACUCUGUUAGCCCUUUACAGUUCUGCAGGGCACUAUAAUCAGCCCCAUGGGACUAGAAAGAAUUAACCUUCCUUCUGCAACCUCUCCCCAUUUUGUACUCAAGCUGUUGGUCCCCAGAGAGUGGCCCAGCUGUUAGAUGGUGGCUUGUGCCAUUUAUAGACGUGUAUUUACAGAGUAGAUUCCUGCUUGGGACAAUUUCAUACUGUAUCUAUUUUGUAAUAUUUUCUUCUUUGGGUUCUUUCCUAAGUUUUGUAAUACUGUCAUCAAAAUCUCUUUGGGAUCCAGAUAAGCCACUUUGAAACUUACAAGAAAACAAGAAAGAGACAGUUUCCCAUAAAAGGUACUAAGCAUAUUUAGGUUUUAAAUUUACAAUGAUGAUAUAUAUUUUAUAAUUGUUUUAAAACACUGUUAAUCACACUCCCUAAUUAUUUUAACAUAACUGUCAGAUUUUCAAAGCAAGCCUCAGUUUGAGACAGUAUAUUAAAUACCUAAUUAAUAUCUAAGCUGGAGACAAAUCUGACUAGAUUUUGCAAAGGAAAGUAACUCAGGACAAUUCUAAAAAUGAGAGAGAGAGAGAGAGAGAUCAGGUGAGUAUUGUUUUACAGCUAUAUUCCCAGUAUGUGUGAUAAUGAUCACUGUGCAUUACUUUACAAAGUAGAAAAAUAAUAACAUAGUAUCCCUGAUAAUUUAUCAAGUAAGCAUGUUGUCUUGGACUAUAAACAUUAGGGCCUUCAGAAUUUAGAAAAGUUAACAACUGUAAUGAUGGUAACAAUAGGAUUUGAAGUGCAAAUGACUGAAAAAUCCCAAUAAGGAAUGGUGAUUGAAUGUGCGGGUUAUAUAUUGUGAUUUAUGUUACUGAAGAUUAAGGAUUGGAUGAACAAAAGAAAAUAAAUGGAAAGACCAAAGGAAUGAGACUACCUGUAUAUGAUUCUAUGGAUGGGAAAAAGAAGAUGAGAAUUGGGAAUGGUAUUUUUGUUCCAUAUUUAAAUUUUUUAAUUAUUACUGAUUUUAUUUGCUCUUAUUUUUCCAGAAAUUUUGCCACUAUUUUAUGUUGAAACUAGAUUAGAUUAUUACAUUAUGUUUCAAUUCAUCAUAUUACAUAUGCAAUGUAUUAGAUUAUAUUAUCUCAGAUCAAUACAUUCCUCAAAACAUUACAUUAGGUGUUUUUUAUUUUAUUUUUUAUUUAUUUACUGUUUAGCUGUGCCUGUGGUAUGUAGCCGUUCCUGGGCCAGGGAUCGAAGCCAUGCCACAGCAGUGACCCAAGCUACAGCAAAGACAAUAAAACACUGGAUCCUUAUCCCACUUAGCCACCAGGGAACUCCAGAUGUUUUUUAAAUGUAACUUUCUGAUAUACAUUUCACUCCCUACAAAUAACAGAGAUUCCUAUCAAAGUUACGACGAAUACAAUACUCUAAAUGUGCAAAAAAAUCUUAGCACUGACAUUAGAACAUUUUUAAUCUUGGCAAGAUAAGUACAGACUCAACAGUAAAAUAAUUUCCCAGGUGAAUAAGGAGCUAACAAUCUACAUUGUGGUAUUUUAAUUAAAGUUCUUAAACCUAAUCCCUAGGGCUUCUUUAAACAGUCCUAACUAUUAAAAACAAAACAAAAACUAAACAACAACAACAACAAACACAUAUGAAUUCAUAAAGCAAGCGACAUCCUAUUUUCUGAACAAACAUCCUUAUUCAUUUGCUAAUGUAUACUUUGGAAAGUGUAAUUCUAUACACAAUGGGUUUAUUUUCCUGGUGAGACUGGCUAUAGCACUUCAGGUUUUGAUCUGUAUAAAAAGACUAAUGCCAAAAGAGAGACUGUACUUUUAUGAAGUAGAGGCAAAAAAUAACCAAAAAAUAAUUUGGGGGGAAUAUUCUUGCCAAUUCAUCUUUCUAAUUUAACCAGUUAAUUAGAUGUUAUGUUGUUGCUUGAAAUUAUAUUUAAAGUAGUUUCUCUUUUUUAAUGAUAAUGUGAAAUCUUGUAGAUUAUACUAUUAAAACAUCAAUUUUACUUUAUAUCCUAAGCCAAACCAAUAAUAGCACCUUUAAGAAAAAAUUUUAUUUGACAGAGUUUACUGGUUGAAAUGUCUGUGUGGACCACAAAAAAUAAGCAAAAUAGUCUGGCAAAACAGAGCCAGAAACAGAAGAGAGUCUAAAGUAAUAGGUCAGGUAAAAUACCAUAGAAAGCUAAAAAUAACAUGCAGUCAUUGCUUAGCUACAGCUGAACUUGACUGGAAGGUGGGCUCAGUGAAACUAAAUUUUUUGAUAUUUUGAGAAAAGAUUUUUAAAAUCUAGAUUUUUUAUAUAAAAUCAGUUGCUUUUAUUUUUUCCUUAGUUUUCUAUUUAUUUUUAUAUUACUCAAUGAAUUUAUUACAUUUAUAGUUGUACAAUGAUCAUCAAAAAUCAGUUGCUUUUAAAAUGAUGCAACAUACAUAAAGGUAAAAAACAAAACAAAAAUAACUCGCAAAUCAAAAUUCUAUAAAGCACUUUUGGGGACUAAGCCAUAAGGUCCCAAUGUGCCUUUAAGCUGGUGAUAUAUAAUGACUGAUUAUACUAUUUAACUUACAAAAUUUAUCUUUGACUCAUGCAUAUGAUACAAACAUACAAUGAUGAUUUUUAAUAUUUUGCAGUUAAUACAUUCUAAAUGCCAGCUCUUUAUUUCUCCAAUUUCAAUAUACAUGUGGCAAUUGUAUCACAGUAUAACAACCUCAUCCUUGAUGCAUUAUUUUAUCUAAAAUUUAACCUGUUAGUUUUUUCACAUGUGCAGUAUCUGUGUAGCUGCUGUUGGGUUUGUUUGUUUUGUUCUGUUUUUCCCUAAGUGGACUAAAUCAAACUUUCAAUGUCUGGUCCAGCAUAUGAAAAGAUACAUGUCUUCUUAUAAGUCAUGACUUUUGCAAAAUGGUGGGACACCUGCUGUUCUUAUAUUCCUCAUGUUUGCAUCCACAAGAUUUAUGAGAGGCUGCAUUUGGUUAAGUCAGUCACAGUGGCAUGACCAUAAAGAAGGUUAUUUUUCUCACAAAACAAGUCAAAAGAUAUACAGUCAGAGCAUGCUAAGAAAAUCACCAGAGAUCCUGGCUAGAUCAAGUGCCUUGUUGGAGUGUUCUUAAUCCCUCUGUCUUUAUAACCACAAUAUAGUGAUUCUACCUCAGGUAUGAAGCAAGGAUGUUAGGCAGUGAGAUGGAGGACAUGUCCAAGGCUAUAAAGUGCCUGUCGUCCCUGUCAGUCCCUUUAAGUCUGGAAACCAACAGCUCUCCUCGGACCCCUAUUCAAUGAGUGUCACCUCACAUCUGGUCAGCUAAAACUGGGUUAGAGGACCAUAGCUAGCUGCAUGAGAGUCUAGGGAGGGGGUUAUUUUAAAAAAUUAUGUAUUUAUUUAUUUAUGCAAAGUGCCCACACCAAGUAGAAGUUCCUGGGCCAGGGACUGAACCUCCCCUGCAGCAGUGACAAUGCCGAUCCUAAACCCACUAAGCCACAAGAGAACUUUGGAAGGGGCUAUUUUUAAACUGGAUAUAUUUGUUGCCCAGACAAGAUAAAAUUCUGAAGCAGGAGAGAAUGCAGCCUUGUCAGGCAGUGAGCAAUAUCUGCCCACCAUAAUGAUUCUACUCAUACAUCUAGAAGGAGGGCUGUUUCACUGCAAAAGGAAUUUGAAGAGCUGUAUAGGUCAGGUUAGUAGCAUGUUACUGCUGCUGCUACUGCAUUUUUCCUCUUCCUCCUCCUUUCUCUUCUUUUUUAGAAUCACAUGAUUACCUUUUAAGAAAUCAUUCAUUAUAGAAAAAUAGAAUAAAGGUGGCAAAGCACACUGUGUCUGUUGGCAAGCCACCAGUAUAAGCUACUAUAAGAUGAUUCAAAAGGAUGGGCAGGGGACAGAGCCUACCUAAGCUGUAAUGCAUUAUUAAUCUGUCUCUGGAACUGUAAUUACCUUCUGAUUCUGUUUCCUCAAGCUUGCAAACAACUGCACUUAGCCUUCUCCUCUGUGGAUGAAUUAGAAUCAUUUCAUAUUAUGGUUUACAGUCUGUUACUACUUUAGAUUUCACCGUUGAAAUUCACUUAACUAAUAAGUCCAUCUGAAAUUUAUAAUAUAUGUGAA